rnacentral:rRNA from 1 species
GUCGAGAAUCUUUCACAAUGGGGGCAACCCUGAUGGAGCGACGCCGCGUGGAGGAUAAGGUCUUCGGAUUGUAAACUCCUGUCAUGCGUGAACAAGGUUGCUUGGUUAAUACCUGGGCAAAUUGAUGGUAACGCAAGAGGAAGAGACGGCUAACUCUGUGCCAGCAGCCGCGGUAAUACAGAGGUCUCAAGCGUUGUUCGGAAUCACUGGGCGUAAAGGGUGCGUAGGUGGCGUGGUAAGUCAGUUGUGAAAGCCCGGGGCUCAACCUCGGAACUGCAUCCGAUACUGCCAUGCUAGAGUACUGGAGAGGUGACUAGAAUUCUCGGUGUAGCAGUGAAAUGCGUAGAUAUCGAGAGGAAUACCAAAGGCGUAGGCAGGUCACUGGACAGUUACUGACACUGAGGCACGAAGGCCAGGGGAGCGAACGGGAUUAGAAACCCUGGUAGUCC